UGAUGUGAAAGCCCCCGGCUCAACCCGGGGAGGGUCAUUGGAAACUGGGGAACUUGAGUGCAGAAGAGGAGAGUGGAAUUCCACGUGUAGCGGUGAAAUGCGUAGAGAUGUGGAGGAACACCAGUGGCGAAGGCGACUCUCUGGUCUGUAACUGACGCUGAGGCGCGAAAGCGUGGGGAGCGAACAGGAUUAGAUACCCUGGUAGUCCACGCCGUAAACGAUGAGUGCUAAGUGUUAGAGGGUUUCCGCCCUUUAGUGCUGCAGCAAACGCAUUAAGCACUCCGCCUGGGGAGUACGGUCGCAAGACUGAAACUCAAAGGAAUUGACGGGGGCCCGCACAAGCGGUGGAGCAUGUGGUUUAAUUCGAAGCAACGCGAAGAACCUUACCAGGUCUUGACAUCCUCUGACAACCCUAGAGAUAGGGCUUCCCCUUCGGGGGCAGAGUGACAGGUGGUGCAUGGUUGUCGUCAGCUCGUGUCGUGAGAUGUUGGGUUAAGUCCCGCAACGAGCGCAACCCUUGAUCUUAGUUGCCAGCAUUCAGUUGGGCACUCUAAGGUGACUGCCGGUGACAAACCGGAGGAAGGUGGGGAUGACGUCAAAUCAUCAUGCCCCUUAUGACCUGGGCUACACACGUGCUACAAUGGGCAGAACAAAGGGCAGCGAAGCCGCGAGGCUAAGCCAAUCCCACAAAUCUGUUCUCAGUUCGGAUCGCAGUCUGCAACU
rnacentral:rRNA from 2 species